CAUGAUCUGAGCCACAGUCAGCUCCUCGUCUUGUUUUUGUUGACUGUAUACAGCUGUAUGAAUUCAGCAGGGGGCAUGAUAAAAAGCUUGGUGUGUAGGUCACAUGUGUUAUAGCAUAUGACAUGCUUAAAACUGCUUAGCCUAUAGUAAGCAGCAGUAGAUAUUAGUCAUUUUGGACAGUAGAGAACUUAGAUUUCUUUCUGCAAAUGUUUGUGCACUGCUAAGCACCUAGAAUUGAGGGUAUAGCCAUACUCUAGGUAGUCUUGAGCCAGAAUGGCCCUGGAUAUUGCAGAAAAACCAGAAACCCAAGCUUUGAUCGAUUAUAGAUAAUUAUAGAACCAGAGCUUAUUUAUCCAAAUUUCACAGAGCUGUGAGUUUUUUAACUCUACAUUCCCUGAGUGACCCCUAAGGUCCCUUCUCUCUGUGACUUACAGAGGCAGUGGUGAGGUACUGGGGGUGCAGAAGGCCUUAGUGCUGUUGCUGGCCCAUCCUUCCCUGCCAGCCGAAAGAAAAAUGCCUCUUAUAGCUGUUUUCUAUCUAAUUAAAUACCGUCUUCCCCUCUCCCCCACUGCAGGCUACCCACACUCCUACCUUGCACAGACAAGGGAAAAAGGGAGAUGAGACAGUGGCAGCCCUCCCACCUAUAAUAUAAUUUAUCUGAAUAAAGAACCCUAAUUGGUCCCCUGAGUAAAAAAAAAAAAAAAAAAAAACANNNNNNNNNNNNNNNNNNNNNNNNNNNNNNNNNNNNNNNNNNNNNNNNNNNNNNNNNNNNNNNNNNNNNNNNNNNNNNNNNNNNNNNNNNNNNNNNNNNAACAAGGUUUGACUGGAGGCCCUGGAAGGGUGGGAGUGUAGGCCAGAAGGAAAGAUGGCUGCAGGUGGUGGCUUUGGCUGGCCAGCAAGCUUGACUAGGGAAGAAAGGUGUCUGUGUCCAUUGCUCUUACCGUGACCAUAACCCCCUGCAUGGAGGGGAAGGAAGGAACUGGUGAGUGUGGUAAAUGUGUGAUGAGGGGGGGUCAAGGGGGAAUCUGCAUCCUCUGGAACUCCAGGAAUCUGACACCAGAACCAAGCAGUGUCAGCUCUUUGUUUCCCGGAGCAGGGCUCUAUUGGGGGAGCUCAGGCCUUGCCCCUCCCCCGCCCAGGUCUUUUCUUUUUUGGAAGGGAUGGAGAGCGGGGCGGGGCUCAGGCCCUGCUUUGUGUGUGGUUGGUGGGGUGGGGGGUGGUAGCAAGAAUUUCAGGCUCCUUUCUGAUGCAGACCCUGUGAGGCAGGCUCAGUGGGGCUGCACGCUGAUUACCUAUCUGAUAAGAGAAGAAUUCAAACUAUGUGUUUUAGAAAGGCGUGGGGUAGGGGGGCCGAGGCAGCCACCCCUGGAGACCACCAGUCUAAAUCUUGGCUGAUUAUGGUGAGGUGCCCACAGGGAUUUUUUUUUUUUCCCUUUAUCUUUUCAAAGGAAAAGAUGGUCUUAAGCUGACCUCAAAUCCUCCAGUGACAGAGUAGGUCAACUAAGAGGACUAGUCGAUGUCAAAUGUCCCCAUUUAUAUUAUCCUCUGAUUCUCACAGUAAGCCUUGAAAGGUGUAGAUGUAGAAGAUUGCAGUGCUCAGGAAACUGGAGCUCAGAGGGGAUAUUUUUCUGAGUUUCCACUGCUAGUUAGCGAUAAAAACUAGGGUUAAAAUGCUGGGUCUUUUGACACUUCUUUCUCACUGUUACCCUGCCCUCAUCCAGUCUGAAAAGGUUGGUGAUAAUUGCCACUUGGGAUUUAUAUGUGGCAGGCAAUGUGUUAACUACUUUUCAUGCAUAAAACCUCACAGCACCACCAUAAAAUUAGUAUUUGCUCCAUUUUGUAGGCUAACACAGAAAGCGGGGAUAGGCUGUAGGACUCUAAACCUUUGCUCUUAAUCACUUAUCUAUCUGCUGAAUCACAGAGAGAACUGGGAGUGUUCCACCCUAAGAGCCCACUAGGCAAAUGGGAGAAGCUGAGUUUACCUGGGUCAGGAAUGCUCUUGGUCUGGAUCCUCCAGCAUCUCCUGACUCACUGGCUUGUCCUAGCGCAAUAAGAGACACGUCAGAUUUAACAUCAAAUUCAGGGCGGUGGUUAUGCAACUGGGAGGAGGAAAGAAUUUUCACCUUUCUGAAAUGUUUUAAGGUUCUGCUUUAACCCUCCACAUUCAGAUUGGGGGAAGGGAGUGAGUCAUCACAACCCUGGCUGUUCUGUGAGAAUAAGAAGGGAGAGGAUACCAAACCUUUGGAAUAUUUCAUUCAUUGAUAUUUAUUGAGCAUAUGUCCUGCCUGCCUAAUCUUCAUUAAAACUCUAGGUAAAUAGCUACUGUUAUCCCAUUGUCUGAAAGAUCUGAGACCCAGAGGUGUGUAACUCACCAAGAUCAAACACAAUGCCAGAAAUUGGUAGAAUCAGUAUUUCAUGAACCAGGAUGUAUCUGACACCUGAGCUUAGGCUCUUAAUUACCUCAAUGAAAGUUUUAUCUUAAGCAGUACCAUCCAAAUUAAAAGAAAAAUGCAAGUGACUGAGAAAUUGGGGAUCCCAUCUGGCAAAAGAGCACGUUUCAUCUAAGUCCCAACUUGAAAUAGCCACCUUGCCCCAUCCCCACCAGCAACACCAUAAAAGGCCUCAAGCCAGGACUAGGUACAUGGUGAUCCCUUUUGCUUCUGAACCACAUUUUCAACAAGGACUACACCUUGUUGACAUAUUUGACAUGUUCGUUGGAUAUUUUGGAAGAUGUCUAUAAUGAAGUCUGUUUUGUGCAGGGUCUGGGAGAGGCUGUCAUUCCGCUAAUGUGUUAUUGAUGCAGAAAAUGGCCAGGUGGAAUGGGCUAUCCAACCCAGAACUCUGGGUUCUUCUGACCCUGCUGUUUCCACUCAGCUGUUUGAAUUACUCCUUCUUUUCUUUUUUCUUUUAAAUUUUGGUUCAAACAAGCAGUGUUUCAGUGAGAUCGUUCCACACAGUAUUUGAAGUCUUUUUCUUCCUUUGAAAAUUUGAUUCUCUUUCCAAGUUAUAUAAUUAAAACCUAUCUCCUUGUUCAUGAAUUCAUCCAAAAUGUGCUAGGCAUUAUUUAGGUGUCAAAAUGCAACAGUGAACAAAGCAAGGACUUUACAUUCUUUUGAACGGCUUUAUGGUAUUUUUGUUGUCUGUUUUUGUUUCUUUUUGAACCAGUGAGAUAUUGAAUAUACGUACCGUGCUAGGUCCUCCUGUAAAUUAUUCUGUUCUGAGUCUUUCAUAAUGAUGCAUAGUAACUUUUUAUAGUAUUAUCAAUUUAGAUAUUUAAUUCUUCCAAAAUAUUUUGCAUACAUAUGAUGUAAAGUAUAAAUUUCUGGCUUCAUUUUCUAGUGGAUAACUGGUUUGUUUCUCAAUAGUACUAUUUAUGGAAUUAUUUUCCUCACCUGCUGAUUUCUGCACUUAUUCUUGGAUCUUCCAGUAGAUUUUCUCUUCUAAUCCACUGAUCUGUCUGCUUUGGGUCAUACUAUCUUUUCCCUUCAACUUUCAGUAACAUUGUUUUGAUAGAAUUUCAAAUUGGGGGAAAGGUUGGAAGAAUAGUUUGAAAAACUCCCAUAUAAACUUUACCCAGAUACAUCAAUUGUUAACAUUUUGUCCUAUUUGCUUUAUUGUUUUCUUUUUUUCCUUGUACAGAUUUCAAGCAUCUUUACCUUUACAAUAUUUCAGCAUUUUUCUUUUCCUAAAAUAUGGCUAUUCUCUUAGGUAACUUCAGUACAAUGAUCAAAAUUAGGGAACUUAACACAUUUGCCUACAUUCCAUGUGCAAAUUUUGUCAGUUCUAAUAUUUUCUCCUGUUCUAAGAGCCAAUCAGAAUCCUGUGUGGCACUGUCUUACUUCGUAGGGGUUUGUCUUUCAUGACUGACAUCUUUUAAGUGUAUAGGCCUGUUCCUUUAUAUUUUACAAUUUUACCUUGGUUGAUUUCUUAUAAAUGCUAUGUUUACCAAUUUUUUUCUGCUGUUCUAGUUUAUUGAGAACCUUCAAUGAGAAUAGCUGCAAAAAAUGCUAUGGCAUCUGUUUACAUAGUGAUUGUUCCUAAUGGA
rnacentral:lncRNA from 1 species